rnacentral:rRNA from 1 species
UGGGGAAUAUUGCACAAUGGGGGAAACCCUGAUGCAGCGACGCCGCGUGGGCGAGGAAGUACCUCGGUAUGUAAAGCCCUAUCAGCAGGGAAGAAAACGACAGUACCUGACUAAGAAGCCCCGGCUAACUACGUGCCAGCAGCCGCGGUAAUACGUAGGGGGCAAGCGUUAUCCGGAUUCACUGGGCGUAAAGGGAGCGCAGGCGGCAUGGCAAGUCUGAUGUGAAAACCCGGGGCCCAACCCCGGGAGUGCAUUGGAAACUGCCAGGCUGGAGUGUCGGAGGGGUAAGCGGAAUUCCUAGUG